UGGGGAAUAUUGGACAAUGGGGGCAACCCUGAUCCAGCCAUGCCGCGUGAGUGAUGAAGGCCUUCGGGUUGUAAAGCUCUUUUGGCGGGGACGAUGAUGACGGUACCCGCAGAAUAAGCCCCGGCUAACUUCGUGCCAGCAGCCGCGGUAAGACGAAGGGGGCUAGCGUUGUUCGGAAUUACUGGGCGUAAAGCGAGUGUAGGCGGUUGCCGUAGUCAGGUGUGAAAGCCUUGAGCUCAACUCAAGAAAUGCACUUGAUACUGGGUGACUAGAGGACCGGAGAGGAUAGUGGAAUUCCCAGUGUAGUGGUGAAAUACGUAGAGAUUGGGAAGAACACCAGUGGCGAAGGCGGCUAUCUGGACGGUUACUGACGCUAAGACUCGAAAGCGUGGGGAGCAAACAGGAUUAGAUACCCUGGUAGUCCACGCCGUAAACGAUGGGUGCUAGACGUUGGCGAGCUUGCUCGUCAGUGUCGCAGCU
rnacentral:rRNA from 1 species